rnacentral:misc_RNA from 1 species
AAGUCGUAACAAGGUUUCCGUAGGUGAACCUGCGGAAGGAUCAUUGCUGAAUUUUAUUGAGAGGAGUUGAAGCUGGCCUUUACACGCAUUGUGCAUGCACCCUUUUAAAAAUAAUCAACUUUAUUAAAGUCCCUGUGGUCACCCCACAAAGUUAAGAGACUGGGGAGAUCGAACCGGUCUUGUGGGAAGGCCCAAGUAGCUCUCCCUUGCGCUUUUGACUCUUUACACACUCUUUCUUGUCAAAUGAAUGUCAUUGGCCGAAAGGCUCUAAGAUAAUACAA